AUUGAACGCUGGCGGCAGGCCUAACACAUGCAAGUCGAGCGGAUGACGGGAGCUUGCUCCUUGAUUCAGCGGCGGACGGGUGAGUAAUGCCUAGGAAUCUGCCUGGUAGUGGGGGACAACGUUUCGAAAGGAACGCUAAUACCGCAUACGUCCUACGGGAGAAAGCAGGGGACCUUCGGGCCUUGCGCUAUCAGAUGAGCCUAGGUCGGAUUAGCUAGUAGGUGAGGUAAUGGCUCACCUAGGCGACGAUCCGUAACUGGUCUGAGAGGAUGAUCAGUCAAACUGGAACUGAGACACGGUCCAGACUCCUACGGGAGGCAGCAGUGGGGAAUAUUGGACAAUGGGCGAAAGCCUGAUCCAGCCAUGCCGCGUGUGUGAAGAAGGUCUUCGGAUUGUAAAGCACUUUAAGUUGGGAGGAAGGGCAGUAAGUUAAUACCUUGCUGUUUUGACGUUACCGACAGAAUAAGCACCGGCUAACUUCGUGCCAGCCGCCGCCGUAAGAC
rnacentral:rRNA from 1 species